GUCCGCUCCCUGCGCUCUGGCCCGGCCGUGCUCGGCUUCUGCCUCGGGCAGCGUUCUGGCGGGCGUGCGGCGCGGAUUGGGGUCUUGCUGGAUGAUACAACCCGGGCCUCAGCCUGCAUUAUCGUGGACAUCCCGCCUUGAGGGAAGAAGGAAGGAGGCAGUGAAGUCCUCAGAAGGUGGGAAGAACAGAUUUGCUUAAAGGAAGAGACCUGAAGAGUGUAAAGAGGUGAAAGAGAGAAACAUAAAUUCUGUUUGAGAAGAUAAAAAUAGGUACAACUGAACAUGUGGACACAUUUUCAUCUCACAUGUUAUCUCCAGGAUCACUAUUUCCCUGCAGCCUCCUGUCAGGUGGUAUCUGACAACAUGCAAGACAAGAAGUAAACACUGCAAAUAUCUUAAGGCUUUGCUUCUGUCUAUCUUAGCCUGAAUACUUGUGAAAAUGUCUCCUUGACACCAAGGAUCAUUUGACGUUGGGCUGUCUGUCCGCAAAACAUAGAAUGACAGAGUCACUGAGGUUGGAAAAGACCUUUCAAAUCAGUGAAUCCAACCACAACCCAGCUUACCACAAUUACUGAACUACAUCCUGAAGCACCACAUCUACACGCUUCUUGAACACCUCUAGGGAUGGCAACUUCACUACCUCCCUGGGCUGCCUGUUCCAACACCUAUCCACUCUUCCAGCAAAGAUUUUUUUCCCUAAUAUCCAAUCUAAACCUCAACUUCAGCCCAUCAUUAUUGAAAUUCUUUUGAUGUUGUAAGGCUGACAACACUGUCACACCUACCCAUUCAGCAGCUAUUCAAAGGCUGGCAAAACAGACUAGUAUUUCUAUUGCCAAGGAAACAACAUCCUCUAUAUAGUUGUCCAUUAUUUGCCUUUAAAAGGCAAAAUAAAUGUGAAGGACAGCAGCUUUGUAUUUGUAUUUAUUCCUUUGUAAAUUAGAUGUAUGUGAAAAAGAUAAGAGAGUAACUCAAAGUAUAGUGUUAAGCUGGAUGUUUUUGUCUAACAGGAUCCUAUCUGUAUGCCUAGUUUGGUGGUAUAAAAUGAUAUACUUAGAACACUUGGGUAUUUCUGAGCAAAUUGACUGCAUUUUACCUACUAACACGCCUGAGGUAUACAUAAAAGCAUCUCAAAAGUCAGUCAUAGUAACCACACUGUAAUUAUCCUUCCUUACUGCCAAGGCUUCACUAGAGUGCUGCAGGAUAUGGCAUUAGUGAUUCAGUCUGAGGCACUCUUCCCUCUGAGUCAGUGUUGAACCAAUGGUCCCACAUAAUAUCAACGUGCAUAACAGAGCCAAAGGUGCCAGAAGAUAUGUAAUUUUCAGUCCCUGCCCAAGUGCAGUCAUGAAAGAUUCCACAUUACAAAUAAAGUGUCCAGCCCAAGCUUCAAUUUUAGCAUCUGUUACAUAUUCUGCCUAUGAGGAUUUCACUAUCACUGCGCUGAAGCAGAGUGA